rnacentral:rRNA from 1 species
AUUGAACGCUGGCGGCAUGCUUUACACAUGCAAGUCGAACGGCAGCGUGGGCUUCGGCCUGGCCGCGAGUGGCGAACGGGUGAGUAAUGCAUCGGAACGUGCCCAGUAGUGGGGGAUAGCCCGGCGAAAGCCGGAUUAAUACCGCAUACGACCUGAGGGUGAAACCGGGGGUCCGAAAUGCCUUGCGCGAUUGGAGCGGUCGAUGUCGGCUUAGCUAGUUGGUGGGGUAAAGGCUUACCAAGGCGACGAUCCGUAGCUGGUCUGAGAGGACGACCAGCCACACUGGGACUGAGACACGGCCCAGACUCCUACGGGAGGCAGCAGUGGGGAAUUUUAGACAAUGGAGGCAACCCUGAUCCAGCCAUGCCGCGUGCGGGAAGAAGGCCUUCGGGUUGUAAACCGCUUUUGUUCGGGAAGAAAUACUAUGGGCUAAUACCCCGGGGGGAUGACGGUACCGGAAGAAUAAGCACCGGCUAACUACGUG